rnacentral:tRNA from 1 species
GCCUUCGUGGUGUAGCGGUCAGCAUGCUCGACGCGUAACCGAGAGGUCCGUGGUUCGAUUCCCGGCGAAGGCA